CUUCUUUUCUUUCUUCUUCUCCUUUUCUUUCCUGUCUUUUUCUUUUUCUUCCUCUUUGCCUUCUUUUGCUUUACCCUUCUGCUUCUCUUCCUCUCCUUCACCUUCUGAUUCUUUCUCAAAAUCUACUAUUUCAAUUUCCCUGGAGGUUAUGUCAGUCUCACACUUCAUGUCAUUUGCUCCAUCUUUGUGUUUCUUCUUCUCCUCCUCAUCAGUUUCUUUCUUCUUGCUCUUCUCUUCGUCCUUGUGCUUUGUUUCUUUCUCCUCUUUGUCUUUCUUUUUCUCCUUUUUCUCUUCUUUCUCUUUCUUCUUCUUCUUCUCUCCUACCUCUUCAUCUUCAUCCUUGUGCUUCUUUUCUUUCUUCUUCUCCUUUUCUUUCCUGUCUUUUCUUUUCUUUCUCUUUGCCUUCUUUUGCUUUACCCUUCUGCUUCUCUUCCUCUCCUUCACCUUCUGAUUCUUUCUCAAAAUCUACUAUUUCAAUUUCCCUGGAGGUUAUGUCAGUCUCACACUUCAUGUCAUUUGCUCCAUCUUCGUGUUUCUUCUUCUCCUUCUCAUCAGUUUCUUUCUUCUUGCUCUUCUCUUCGUCCUUGUGCUUUGUUUCNCUCUCCUCUCU
rnacentral:lncRNA from 1 species